rnacentral:misc_RNA from 1 species
CCUUAGCUGCUCUGCGUGAC